UGAGGGUAAACACGGCACUUAGUGAUAGC
rnacentral:piRNA from 1 species